GGGAUUGUGGCUCAGAGGUAGAGCACUUGCAUACCAUGCAAGAGGCACUGGGUUCAAUACUCAGCAUCACA
rnacentral:tRNA from 1 species